rnacentral:rRNA from 1 species
GACGAACGCUGGCGGCGUGCUUAACACAUGCAAGUCGAACGGAAAGGCCCCGCUUUUGUGGGGUGCUCGAGUGGCGAACGGGUGAGUAACACGUGAGUAAUCUGCCCUUGACUCUGGGAUAACCUCAGGAAACUGGGGCUAAUACUGGAUAGGAGCUUCCGCUGCAUGGUGGGGGGUGGAAAGUUUCGGCGGUUGGGGUUGGACUCCCGGCUUAUCAGCUUGUUGGUGGGGUAGUGGCUUACCAAGGCUUUGACGGGUAGCCGGCCUGAGAGGGUGACCGGCCACAUUGGGACUGAGAUACGGCCCAGACUCCUACGGGAGGCAGCAGUGGGGAAUAUUGCACAAUGGGCGGAAGCCUGAUGCAGCGACGCCGCGUGCGGGAUGACGGCCUUCGGGUUGUAAACCGCUUUCGCCUGUGACGAAGCGUGAGUGACGGUAAUGGGUGAAGAAGCACCGGCUAACUACGUG